UGUAGAGAUCCAUCCAUCAUGGAUCUUAGCAAGUUAGUGGGAGCUAUUUGCAUUUUAUGAGGAAAAAUGAUCAAAUCGUUUGAUUUCUCAUAAAGAUGUAAAUGAAUCUUUUGUUUACGAGUUUUACAAAAGAUUAGUGGGAGUUAAUCAUGUUCCUAAAAUUUAAAUAUAUAUGAUAUAUUAAUUUUGGAAAUGAAAAGAAUACUUCUUCGUUAAAGUUAUGACUUUAAUACAUUAUAUGAAGAUAGAAUGUAUAUGGGAGAUAUAGUCUAUAUACACGGGAUGGAAAUCUAUAAUGAUAUAUUUCAUGAUAUAAUUGGAUUAUAUCAAUCCCUAAUAAUAGACAAUGGAUGCUAGGAAGUUUCUCAUAUGAUGAUAAACUUCAAUAAGAAGGAUGACUCUAGUAAGACUAGUAAGUUGCCCUUCUCAAAGGUAACGUGCCCCUUUGACUCCCAAAGAAAUAAUGCGUAAAUUGAAUCCUUUAUGCAUACGCAGAAAGGUUAUUUAUGUAUUUCAUAUUGUAUGAAAACAUUGAUAUGAGUUGUACCUAGAACGGUACAAGACGAUAUCAGUGCAAGCCCAGGAUCAGAACCAUGGCAACUGUCAAGUGAGUCCUUAAGUAUUUAAGAAAUACUAAAGGAUAAAUUCCUCAAAGAUUGAGGAAGAAUCAAAGUAAUGUAAUGGAAGCGUAAAUGUAUUAGAUUAUGAAUCUAAUCCAUCAUUGGAUGUUUCUUCAUUAUGAAUGA
rnacentral:lncRNA from 1 species